rnacentral:rRNA from 1 species
AACUUUUAACAAUGGAUCUCUUGGCUCUCAUAUCGAUGAAGAACACAGUGAAAUGUGAUAAGUAAUGUGAAUUCGAGAAUUCAGUGAAUCAUUGAAUCUUUGAACGCACCUUGCACCUUUUGGUAUUCCAAAAGGUACACCUGUUUGAGUGUCAUG